UACGGAGGGGGCUAGCGUUGUUCGGAAUUACUGGGCGUAAAGCGCACGUAGGCGGCUUUGUAAGUUAGAGGUGAAAGCCCGGAGCUCAACUCCGGAAUUGCCUUUAAGACUGCAUCGCUAGAAUCAUGGAGAGGUUAGUGGAAUUCCGAGUGUAGAGGUGAAAUUCGUAGAUAUUCGGAAGAACACCAGUGGCGAAGGCGACUAACUGGACAUGUAUUGACGCUGAGGUGCGAAAGCGUGGGGAGCAGACAGG
rnacentral:rRNA from 1 species